rnacentral:rRNA from 1 species
UACGUAGGGUGCGAGCGUUAAUCGGAAUUACUGGGCGUAAAGCGUGCGCAGGCGGUUAUAUAAGACAGUUGUGAAAUCCCCGGGCUCAACCUGGGAACUGCAUCUGUGACUGUAUAGCUAGAGUACGGUAGAGGGGGAUGGAAUUCCGCGUGUAGCAGUGAAAUGCGUAGAUAUGCGGAGGAACACCGAUGGCGAAGGCAGCCCCCUGGGCUAAUACUGACGCUGAGGCACGAAAGCGUGGGGAGCAAACAGG